UGCAGUCUCUGCUUUAAAGUAAGCAGAUGAAUUGCCAGUCACAUAUAGAAUCAGAUUCUUCCCUUAGUUGCUCUGUUUUCAUUGAGUGCUGAUGAAGCCGUUGGUAAGUGUUGCCGGGACACACUGUCUGCAGCUCACUGCUUAUUUAUUGACCGGCGUGUAGUGUGGCAUACUGGGUCAAUAACCCUCCACUUGUUUUUAGUCACCUGAGAGGAAGAAAGACAGUAUUCCUUUGUGAAAAAUAAGUAAAUUUCAGCAUACUUUUAAAAAUAGUACUUCCUAUGAUUUAAUAUACAUAAUAUACAUUUUAAGUAUUUAAUUACGUCUUUAUAUGUAUUUCAUAAUUCCUUCUAUUGUCUUAUAUGAAAUAUAGAUAAAGUAUAAUAAGGUGAAUGGUAUCUGUUUCUUUCCCAUGCUUCCCCUAAAUGUCUGUUCUAGGAGCAUGCAAGUUCGGUGAGCAGGUACGCAGUACAGUGGAACAGGCGGAUUGCUUUACUGUAGCAACAAAUACUGUAAUGCACAGUUCUCGUAAUUUCAACAGGAAUUUAUUUCCAACAGUGAAUUCCAUUCACCUCAACUGCAGACUGCUAAGGACAAUCAGAGGCAGAGGAAUGCUGGAAAACAAAAGGAGCUGAUGAUCAAGUAAAAGCAGAAAGAGAGAGCCAUUUAAAAUUGCAAUGAAGUAGAAGGAAAUGCUUUUCGAAAUCACCGCCCCGUUUCUCUCCUUUAGAGCCCAU
ensembl:lncRNA